rnacentral:rRNA from 1 species
UACGUAGGGUCCAAGCGUUGUCCGGAUUUAUUGGGCGUAAAGAGCUCGUAGGCGGUUCCGUAAGUCGGAUGUGAAAACUCGGGGCUCAACCCCGAGACGCCAUCCGAUACUGCGGUGACUUGAGUCUGGUAGGGGAACACGGAAUUCCUGGUGUAGCGGUGAAAUGCGCAGAUAUCAGGAGGAACACCGAUGGCGAAGGCAGUGUUCUGGGCCAGUACUGACGCUGAGGCGCGAAAGCUAGGGGAGCAAACAGG